UUACUGCUGUCACCAACUAUGUGGUAAGAUUUAUCAACCAAGCUGGCAGACAGUCAGAGCCCAAAACUGCUAUUUUGGGGGCUCAAAACUGCUUACUCUUCCUGUGGACCAGGUCACUUGAAGACACUCAGUGUGGUGCCAUCCUGUCUCAUAAUGCAAGGCAGCAGCAGCAGCAAGCCCCAGAUUCCAAGCGGCCAUAUGACCUCAAAGGAGAACAAUCAACCCCAGCAAUAUUAUGCCAUGAGGCGAAGCAGUCAAUUGAUCACACUGACAACUAGCUGUUAGGUUCUGCCUGCUCUGAUGUGUCUCCACCUUGUAAACAUAUAAGCUUGGGGAGAGUUAGGGGCGGGGGGUGAGCAAUGAACACAUCAUCCUGUAAGCUGGGAACAGGAUCCAGCGUGUGACUGAGAAACCCCACAUUUGCUGUACAUUUGAGCCACACUGAGGGCAAGCCACAAUUUCUGCACUUCAUUUUUCCUGACAUCCGGCCACAAUUAGCACUCAGAGUUCGAAGAGGGGUCUUAGGACCCUGAGAUCUUAGGGUGCUGGUGUGCUCUGUUCCAUCAC